rnacentral:lncRNA from 1 species
AUUAAACCUGACAUGCUUAACAUUGACAUGUUCAUAUUACACUAACAAGCUUAAACCUAACAUGCUGAACACCUUCUUAACACCUUCACUCCUCCUUCUUCUCCUUCAUCAACCUGAUGCGCUCAGAGUGGCGAAUCCCAACGCGGAUGUACUCCUCUACCACAAUUGGCAUGGUCCUGUCGCCAAGCUGUGGGAUUGCAGGCGCCGCCACCAUCGUGAGGUCGUCGUCCACCACCACCAUCGCGAGGUCGUCGUCCGCCACCAGCAUCGCGAGGUCGUCGUCCGCCACCACCAUAGCAAGGUCGUGGUCCGCCACCACCAUAGCAAGGUCGUCAUCCGCCACCAACAUAGCAGGGUCGUCGUCAGCCACCACCAUAGCAUGUUCGUCGUCAGCCAGAAUAGGCUGCUCCUCGUCAUCCCCGCUCUGCU